CAGGGAUCGAAUGAUACAUUUGUGUUUACAAAUACACCAGGGCGUCCUGUUAUAUAUCGCCCCACAGGGGUGAAUCGGUAUUUUACUCUUUGUUCAACUGAGUAUUUAGCGCUUGGUGGGGGAAAUCAUUUUGCAUUGUAUCUCGAUAGUGACUUAUUGAAUGGGUCAAGUUUGGCCUCAGAAACUUAUGGUAACUCUUGUUUGUCACACACCCAAGAAUUUGAAGUGAAGGAAAUUGAGGUGCUUUCUCUCACUUAUUUUUGCAAAAAUUACAUUUUUGGUCC